GCUCAGGUAGCUUAGUUUGUAACGCACUCGUCUAGCAUUCAAGUGUCGUGGGUUCGAAUCCUGCCUGAGCA
rnacentral:tRNA from 1 species